rnacentral:rRNA from 1 species
AGAUCUUGACAUCCCGCGAACGCCCAUGAGGAUGGGCGGUGCCUUCGGGAACGCGGAGACAGGUGGUGCAUGGCUGUCGACAGCUCGUGUCGUGAGAUGUUGGGUUAAGUCCCGCAACGAGCGCAACCCCUGUUGCUAGUUACCAUCAUUAAGUUGGGGACUCUAGCAAGACUGCCUGCGAAGAGCAGGAGGAAGGUGGGGAUGACGUCAAGUCAUCAUGCCCCUUAUGAUCUGGGCUACACACGUGCUACAAUGGGCUGUACAGAGAGGAGCGAGGCGGUGACGCGGAGCGAAUCUUAAAAGCAGUUCGAAGUUCGGAUUGAAGUCUGCAACUCGACUUCAUGAAGUUGGAAUCGCUAGUAAUCGCGGAUCAGCAAUGCCGCGGUGAAUACGUUCUCGGGUC